rnacentral:rRNA from 1 species
AAAUUGAAGAGUUUGAUCAUGGCUCAGAUUGAACGCUGGCGGCAGGCCUAACACAUGCAAGUCGAACGGUAACAGGAAGCAGCUUGCUGCUUCGCUGACAAGUGGCGGACGGGUGAGUAAUGUCUGGGAAACUGCCUGAUGGAGGGGGAUAACUACUGGAAACGGUGGCUAAUACCGCAUAACGUCGCAAGACCAAAGAGGGGGACCUUCGGGCCUCUUGCCAUCAGAUGUGCCCAGAUGGGAUUAGCUUGUUGGUGAGGUAACGGCUCACCAAGGCGACGAUCCCUAGCUGGUCUGAGAGGAUGACCAGCCACACUGGAACUGAGACACGGUCCAGACUCCUACGGGAGGCAGCAGUGGGGAAUAUUGCACAAUGGGCGCAAGCCUGAUGCAGCCAUGCCGCGUGUAUGAAGAAGGCCUUCGGGUUGUAAAGUACUUUCAGCGGGGAGGAAGGUGUUG